GGUUUCAAAAAAUAAUUAAAAAUCGAGGAAAUAUCCUAGAAAAGCCCUUUUGGCGUGAAAACCCCAAAGAGGAUCCAGGCUUCCCGAAACGGAGGUUUCGGGUGCCAGAAAGGACAAUAUAAAACUGGCUCUUACAAGGAUUGAUGUUGAAAAUAAUGUACGUUCCAGAAGAUGCCAAGGCGUCAGUCUAGACCAGGGGUCGGCAAACUGCGGCUCACGAGCCACAUGCGGCUCUUUGGGGAUUGCGAGCAGCAGUUUGCUAACCCCUGAUGGCUCUUCCGUUUCAAAAGUUUGCCGAUACCUGGUCUAGACUCAACUCGACCUCUACCCCCUCUGUCUACCUCUCCAGUCCAGCACAGUAAGUCUAGGUGCCCAGUGGUGACCUCAAGCCAGAAGAAACCCCGAACCCACCCAGAUCACCAAGAAGGUUGCGUCUCUUUCUCUGUGCUUGCUGAGAUAGGAGAGUAGAUUCCCCUCUUUGAGAGAUUUCUUUGUAUCAAGAAUUGAAACAUAUUGGCUGGCCGAGUGGCGCAUUGGUUAAGAGUUGGCUUGGGACACCAGCUCUGAGCAGCAGGGCCCCGCAUCAGA